rnacentral:rRNA from 1 species
GCUUGACUGUAUCUUGGAAUUGGGUUCGGGCUUUUCUUGCGCAGACUAGGUGGGAGGCUAUGAAGAUUUUCUUCUGGGAAAGUUGGAGCCAACAGUGAGAGACCACUCUGGAAAGGCUAGAAUCCUAAUGGUGAUCCUCGAAUCAGGACACUUGACAGUUUCAGGUGGGCAGUUUUUCCGGGGCGGAAGCCUCAUAAAAGGUAACUGAGGCGCGCAAAGGUCCCCUCAGUCUGGACGGAAAUCAGACAUUGAGUGUAAAGGCAAAAGGGGGCUUGACUGCAAGACCCACAAGUCGAGCAGGGGCGAAAGCUGGCCUUAGUGAUCCGACGGUGCCGUGUGGAAGGGCCGUCGCUCAACGAAUAAAAGUUA